AAAACUGAGAGUUUGAUCCUGGCUCAGGACGAACGCUGGCGGCAUGCCUAAUACAUGCAAGUCGAACGCUGAAGCACUCUGCUUGCAGAGUGCGGAUGAGUGGCGAACGGGUGAGUAACACGUGG
rfam:Atopostipes suicloacalis DSM 15692 genome assembly, contig: EJ15DRAFT_scaffold00007.7